ACGUUGCAUGAAGAGAGGGCAGACGCCCCGCCAACCUGCCUGACACGGCAAGGUGGUUUCCUUGAAAAAGGCAUGAGACCAUAGUGUAAACACAGUGUCCAUG
rnacentral:ncRNA from 1 species